rnacentral:rRNA from 1 species
CGGAGGGUGCAAGCGUUAUCCGGAUUCACUGGGUUUAAAGGGUGCGUAGGUGGGCAGGUAAGUCAGUGGUGAAAUCUCCGGGCUUAACCCGGAAACUGCCAUUGAUACUAUUUGUCUUGAAUACUGUGGAGGUCAGCGGAAUAUGUCAUGUAGCGGUGAAAUGCUUAGAUAUGACAUAGAACACCAAUUGCGAAGGCAGCUGGCUACACAAAUAUUGACACUGAGGCACGAAAGCGUGGGGAUCAAACAGGAUUAGAUACCCUGGUAGUCCACGCCCUAAACUAUGGAUACUCGACAUUUGCGAUAAACUGCAAGUGUCUGAGCGAAAGCAUUAAGUAUCCCACCUGGGAAGUACGAUCGCAAGAUUG